CUGAUACAAGAAUAGUGUGUGGUCACGGGAGGAUCUCUAUUCAGGACACAAGAUAUUCCUUUGUUGCUUAUGUAUUUAAGCUAUUAUGUUUCUCUAACAGAGACAUGGCGCUGAAGGUCCAGGAUAGAGAAGAUAAUUGAUGGAGGAAAUCAUAAAAGAAGGCACUUGACUCAGUGCAUCAAUGGGAAGGGAAAGACCACUCUGCUCUCUAAGACUAAAAGGAAGGAGAUGAAUUGUGGGCAUAAAGAGCCGUAGUCCCAUUUUUAAGGGAAGGUGAACACAGAUGCUUUAUAGGAAUGAUCCUGUCGGCUGGCAGCUCGGCGUGUGUUAAAUUCAAGCAAGCUACCCUGAGAUGCAGAAAAAUAAGGCCAUUCUUCUCUCAGUCGACUUGUCACUCCUAUGAAAUGCCAGGCCUGCUCAGAGAUUGACUGACACAGUACGGUUGGCAUCUCACUGGAAGGCCCAUGUCGGAAAACAUGAGGAAGAGAUGAAACCUGACAACUUAAAAAAGCUGAUGUCAUUACUCCAAUAUAAGGUAUUAUUUCCCUCACUGACUUUUUUUCCAGUGAUUUCAUCAGGAUAGAUCUUUAAUGGAACUGUAAAUUUUUCCAAGUAUUAUUUUCUGCUCUUCCUACUAUCUGUCUCACACCUCAAACAUACUUUGGUAGUGAAUGUUUAUGUUAUUACAGUAAGAGUUUCUGGAGUUUUUUAAAUGUAUAUCAUUUAAGGAUUUGAGUCUGAAUUAAAUGAAUAAUCAUCCCAUACUUCUCUUCUGUAGUCUUUUUCCAUAUAUUCUGUUGUUUGAUAUUCGAGGAACCCUUUAAGGCAGGACCUCCUGCUCCUUUCAUGCCACACAAUCUCCCUGAGAGCUAUUAUUAACAAUUGAAAUUUCAGCAGAGGAAGGCUCGCCUCCCCUUGUAGGCUGCAUGCUGAGCACUUCUUAAUCAGUCUUCUGCCCAGAGUUGUGCACUCCUCUAUCCAGUUUUCUGCCGGCAUCUCCACCUGGAUAUCCUGUAGGUACCCCAAACUCAACAUGUCUAAACACUCCUUGCCUUCUCCAUCACACACGCUUUGCUGCCACCAUUCUCGGGUCUACCUCCAUGAGUCCUCUACUUCAUAUUCUUGAGUCAUCUCUGUUUUUGCAGAUUUGACCUCCCAGAUAUUUCUUGGCUCUUCCCCAACCUCUUUCUCCCAGCCCACCACCAAGAGGCUCCUACUGGCCUCCUCUAAAUCCAUCCUUCGCAGAGCCAUGCAAGUGAAUUAUUUCAAAUCUGCCUACGAUUACAGCAUUUUC
rnacentral:lncRNA from 1 species